AUAAGAGACUGUUAGAAGCAGCAAAUAAAUGGCAAUGCAUAAACUACAGAUCCCAUAAUGCACUGUGAGGUCUUUACCCACUAUAAGGCUAUUACUGGAAGUGAGGGAGCCUGACUGCUGUUGCGUGUGCUAUUUAGCUGACAAAAAUGUUGGGCAACCAGGCUGUAGACUUUUAUCACUGGCAUGUGGAAAGGGCCUUCAUCUCCCAUGAUGCACUAUAAGGGUUGACCAUAAGAGCCUCUCUGAACCGUCCCCCACUCUAGUGCUGAGGCCACUGACUGUCGCUACGAUGAGUGUGACCGUUGGCAAAUGACCGUUGGCAAAUGACAGUUGGAAAAUGACCGUUGGCAUUUACAGCAGAGGCAGAGAAAAUUGUCUAAUGGUUCAGAAAAAACUACAAAAACAAAUGAAGGAGUAUGACAGAAGGCGACCACUCCAGCACCAACGGGAGGAAAGGAAAAAAGAAUGAGAUCCUGAUAACCCGGCACAGCUCUCUCCAGAGCCAAUUGAGCAGAUUUCUUUUCUGAAGGGGCUGGUGUCAGAUCUUCAUAGAUCCAUUGGGGUAUCUGUCCCAUCACUGGGCCCUAUGAAGAUCACCAGGCUACAUGAAUUUUCUACAGGGACAGACAAUAUUUCCAUUCUCUCUCCCCUCCGUGUAGGCUCCAGUUCUGACACUCUAAUAUAUGGGGCCCAAAAUAAUGUCCUGAAUGGGUCCCGUUGGGCAGACCCAUAUCCAACCCAGACCAACUAACUCAGAACCUGACCCUCUACUGAGCACCCUGUCCCUCCUGCUGAUACCUACCUGCUCUGCCUUAACUUCGGCUCAACCCAGGACCCACCCAAACUGGAAGUGACAUCACAUGUGGCUGAACAUGACGUCAUUAGGGAGGUGGAUCAACCAGGACAGGAAAAAGGUUAGUUUUAACUUUGGGAGUUGGGGGAAAUGGAGCCUACGAUCAGCCUGAGUAACCCAGGCAGGGAACCCACGGACCACCCACAUAAUCAGGGACUUGGGGUCUUUCUGCCAAAAACCUGACCAGUUUGCGGCUAUUCCAUGGGUGCCUGACCUGAUGCAGGACUCUCCCUUAUGGGCCCCUAUUAUUAGUACCAUUGUGCCCCAUUAUUUACAGGCACCUUUAUGUAUGUUUGCUCACAUGGAGGUGCAAGGGGACAGGAUUAGUGGGGUUGCUCCCCAGGCUUUUGUGCUUCAUUCUGUCCUGUAUGUGAUGUAUCAGACGUGUCCCUGUUUAAUUGGGUGACAGACAUAAGGCAGGAUCCAGUGUCCUACUGUACAUCUUAAUGGACUCACUGAUGGACACAACAAGUGCCAUAUACUCCACUACUUGUGUCAAUCUUUGGUUUUACUGAUCUUUAUUAAGUCUGGCUGUGAGGCCCCACCUUGUCUCCAGCGUCUCAUUCAUAUUUAAUAGUGUUUUCCAGCACUCCCUGUAUAUACACCUGUCUCUCUCUCUCUCUGUGUGUGACAGUCACUCACUAUAUACACCUGUCUCUCUCCCUGUGUGAC